rnacentral:rRNA from 1 species
AACGAACGCUGGCGGCAUGCCUAACACAUGCAAGUCGAACGAGACCUUCGGGUCUAGUGGCGCACGGGUGCGUAACGCGUGGGAAUCUACCCUUGGGUUCGGAAUAACAGUUAGAAAUGACUGCUAAUACCGGCUGAUGACGUAAGUCCAAAGAUUUAUCGCCCAAGGAUGAGCCCGCGUAAGAUUAGCUUGUUGGUGGGGUAAUGGCCUACCAAGGCGACGAUCUUUAGCUGGUCUGAGAGGAUGAUCAGCCACACUGGGACUGAGACACGGCCCAGACUCCUACGGGAGGCAGCAGUGGGGAAUAUUGGACAAUGGGCGCAAGCCUGAUCCAGCAAUACCGCGUGGGUGAUGAAGGUCUUCGGAUUGUAAAGCCCUUUUAGUGAGGAAGAUAAUGACGGUACUCACAGAAAAAGCACCGGCAAACUUCGUGCCAGCAGCCGCCGUAA